rnacentral:rRNA from 1 species
UACGGAGGGGGCUAGCGUUGUUCGGAAUUACUGAGCGUAAAGCGCACGUAGGCGGAUAUUUAAGUCAGGGGUGAAAUCCCGGGGCUCAACCCCGGAACUGCCUUUGAUACUGGGUAUCUGGAGGUCGAGAGAGGCGAGUGGAAUUCCGAGUGUAGAGGUGAAAUUCGUAGAUAUUCGGAGGAACACCAGUGGCGAAGGCGGCUCGCUGGCUCGAUACUGACGCUGAGGUGCGAAAGCGUGGGGAGCAAACAGG